rnacentral:rRNA from 1 species
GACGAACGCGGCGGCGUGCCUAAUACAUGCAAGUAGAACGCUGAAGAGAGGAGCUUGCUCUUCUUGGAUGAGUUGCGAACGGGUGAGUAACGCGUAGGUAACCUGCCUGGUAGCGGGGGAUAACUAUUGGAAACGAUAGCUAAUACCGCAUAAAAUUGAUUAUUGCAUGAUAAUUAAUUGAAAGAUGCAAUUGCAUCACUACCAGAUGGACCUGCGUUGUAUUAGCUAGUUGGUGAGGUAACGGCUCACCAAGGCGACGAUACAUAGCCGACCUGAGAGGGUGAUCGGCCACACUGGGACUGAGACACGGCCCAGACUCCUACGGGAGGCAGCAGUAGGGAAUCUUCGGCAAUGGGGGGAACCCUGACCGAGCAACGCCGCGUGAGUGAAGAAGGUUUUCGGAUCGUAAAGCUCUGUUGUAAGAGAAGAACGGGUGUGAGAGUGGAAAGUUCACACUGUGACG